rnacentral:lncRNA from 10 species
GCUCACUCUGGGCCAAAUAACAGGACUGAUUGCAGCCUGCGAUGAAACAUCCUGUUUCUCCCAACCAGAAACAGGUAGAGGAGAGAAGAGCCCCAGUGAGAGAGUGAAGCAGAUGAAAAGAUAACAUGAAAACCAACCAAGCAACGAACAGACAAACAAAAUAACCCAUUUCAAGUUCUCGGAGCCUGGUCUCAUUUCCAGCCGGAAAUUACUGCUGCAGACUGCAGGGUGCUCCCUGCACUCCCUGUGUAUAUGAUCUAGUGGUUGCUAAUGUCUUUAGAGAGAGAAAGACGUACACUGUUAUGAGGUGAGUCCCCAGGAGUCAGGAAUUUACCUGUGCCCUGGGGCAGGCACUGCCCUGGGGAGAGGAAGGAACUUCCUCAUUAAUUCAUUCCACAGGGAUGGAUGCUGCCCUCAGCCUCUGCAGGGAGCUGUUCUGCGUGCUGGAGGUGGAGACGCCAGUGCCUCUGAGGGCCUCCUUUUUCUGACAGAGCUUGCAGAGAAGGCAGACAUGAAAUGGAUGGUCACAGAUGGGGUGGAGGUUACAGAAGGGGAUGCAUAGACAGCCAGGGAGUGCUUAGGGCUUGAAUGAGGGGAAUUGCAGAGGUGAGAAAAAGGGAACAGAUUCCAAAGAUAUGAAGAAAGCGGAUUUGUGAAUGACUCCUGAAUGUGACCAUCCAUCCUUGUGAGCAAGAAGACAUGCGUUCUCAAGCCCAUACAUUGUGAACACCCUCACUAAAGCAGAUUCUUCUUGGAAAAUCACAACUGAUACUGAGUCAUCAAUGAUAGGAACAGGCAGCCUUACCAGGUUCAAAAGAAAUUGAUCAUCAAGGACGCAUCACUAGAUAGAAUCCAGCUACAGGGUCCGGAAGCCUGGGAUCCAGGCCCAACACGGCCACCCUUUGUGUGACCUCCAAUCAAUCCUGUCUAGAUCAGUGGCUCUCAGUCCUCUGCGGUUAGAACGGAGAGCUUGAGAGAGUGCCGAUGUCAGAUCCCCACCGCUGGAAUUCUGCUUUGUCACCCCGGCAGUUCUCAAGAGCAGCUCUGGCGCUAAACCUGAAGCCACAGACUGCUGCAGUAAUAGUUGUUAGCAUCCCCUGGGCAUAAGGAAAGAGAUGCACCUCAUGGAGAUUGGGGUCAGACUGAGGGAAGAACUUUCAGAAUUUAAAUACAGAAGCUUCUAUAAUGCCUCAUUCUAGGAUAUUGCUAAAAAGACUUCUUUAGUUGUGAGUAACAUUAACCAGCUUGAGUCAGCUUAUGGAAAAAGAAGGUUUUUAUUAAAGAGCUGUGUUUGGGGGAGACCCAGGGCAAGUACACAGCCAGCUCCAGAAAGGACCCGGAGCCAGAGGAAGGGGCUGACUUGCCUCUGUGUCUCCCCUCUGCUCACUCUCUCUGUGCACUGACCUACCUGGUCUCUCUGGGCACAAGGGAGAGGGUGGCUGUCCCAAGAAUGCCUGGUUGAUAAUUACGCAUUCUUCAGUUACCAUCCAAGCAGACACUAUCCCUGGUUCCCAGCUAAACCUGGGACAAUGAAGGUGACUCACCCACCUAUGGCCAUCGAUCAGAGGAGAUAGCCAGACAAUUUCUUUAAAAGGAUAAGUAAGUCGAAUAUAUAGCACGCCAGAUAGCAACACAUCCAAUUGAAAAAUAAUACAUGGGAGGACUAUAGGGCCACUGGUGGUGAAUGUGGCAUUGGACUUUAUGCACAGGGGUCAGUGAAAAUAGUGAAAAAAAUGAUAUAAAUAUGUGUGUAUAUGGUAGAAACAUGAUAUAUAUGUGUGCUAUAUUAGUUUAUAUAUUUAGUCUACCUAUACUACAUAGU